UACGUAGGGGGCGAGCGUUGUCCGGAUUUACUGGGCGUAAAAGGUUCGUAGGUGGCUCGUCCAGUCGAGCGUGAAAUCUCCCGGCUUAACUGGGAGAGGUCGUUCGAUACUAGCGGGCUCGAGGUCGGUAGAGGGAAGCGGAAUUCCGGGUGUAGUGGUGGAAUACGUAGAUAUCCGGAGGAACACCAGUGGCGAAGGCGGCUUCCUGGACCGAUUCUGACACUGAGGAACGAAAGCGUGGGGAGCGAUCCGG
rnacentral:rRNA from 1 species